rnacentral:rRNA from 1 species
AUUGAACGCUGGCGGCAGGCCUAACACAUGCAAGUCGAACGAGUGGCGGACGGGUGAGUAAUGGCUGGGAAACUGCCCGAUGGAGGGGGAUAACUACUGGAAACGGUAGCUAAUACCGCAUACCAUCGGAUGUGCCGAGAUGGGAUUAGCGAGUAGGUGGGGUAACGGCUCACCUAGGCGACGAUCCCUAGCUGGGCAGAGAGGAUAACCGGCCACACUGUAACGGAGCCACUGUCUACAUGCCUACUGUGGGCAGCAGGGGGAAAUAUUGCAAAAUGGGCGAAAGCCUUAUACCGCCCUGCCGCGUGUAUUAAGAGGGCCUUCUGAUUCUAAAGUACUUUCAGCGAGGAUGCGUUACUCACAGAAGAAGCGCCGGCUAACUCCGUGCCAGCAGCCGCGGUAAUAC